GUUUCAACGAUAAAGGUUGGAACACUGCUCUAAAAUUACUCUCACUCUUUGCAAGUGGCCGUGUUUCAUAAAUUGAAUUCAAUUCACACUGAAAUUAAUUGCUAUCAUUUAUUCCAAGCCGAAACAUUCUAUAUGUACCGGCAUAGGCACCUAUGUGUUAAGUGAAAUAAAAAUGAAUGCAAAAUAACAUUGGCGGAGGUCAUUUCGCUUUUGCUGAAAUCAUAUAGGCGUUUUUAACUGGGCUGGAAUAUUUCGGAUUCGAUAGUUUCUUAACUUGUAUUUUAUCAUGCAGGUUAUGUCCUGAUUACGAGAAUAAGCGAAUAAGGUGAAAGCGAAUCUCACCAAUCGACAAUUUGUUGAAAUUCUGUCCGGAUGGCGGAACAAGUGGAUUGAUGCGACAACGGAUCUCACAAAUGAUCUGUCUGUUCAAAUUAGCUGCGUUCUGGUUGGAAAGAUCAAAGGACAGUCGACAAUCGGACAAGUACGUUGAAGAACAUUGGAAUGAAUUGUUGUACCAUCUUGAUUAUAUAAACAGUGUAUUUUAAUUUUUUUUAUAUAACCAUCUUUCUACCCGAGUUUGCCGGAUAUCAAAGCUUGCCCCAGUAGUGGCGUAUCUGCGUGAAAUAGCGCCUAUGGAAAUGUUUAAAAUGCGCCCUCUUGAUCGAUCGUUUACUGAAAUAUUUAACUACGGUUUGUUGCUUUGGGAUACUUUUACGUUAUUCAAGAAGUUUUUAUCAAAAUGAG